rnacentral:rRNA from 1 species
UACGGAGGGUGCAAGCAUUAAUCGGAUUUAUUGGGCGUAAAGGGCGCGUAGGCGGUGAGGUAAGUCAGAUGUGAAAUCCCGGGGCUCAACCCCGGAACAGCAUUUGAAACUACUUUUCUAGAGGAUAGGCGGAGAAAAUGGAAUUCCACAUGUAGCGGUGAAAUGCGUAGAUAUGUGGAAGAACACCAGUGGCGAAGGCGGUUUUCUAGCUUAGACCUGACGCUGAUGCGCGAAAGCAAGGGGAUCAAAC